CGCAGAGCGACCGCGAACGAGUUAAGCCGCGGCACGCCCCUUUCCUUCCCUCGUGGAGAGGAGAGCGGGCGAGGCCGCGAAACAACAACGAAACCCCGGCGCAUAUCGCGCCAAGGAAAACGAACGGAUGCGGACCCGGCGCGCCCCGUCCGCGGGCGCGCGCCGGGUCGGCUUCGGAAAGUCGAAACUUUACGACUCUCGGCAACGGAUAUCUCGGCUCUCGCAUCGAUGAAGAACGUAGCGAAAUGCGAUACUUGGUGUGAAUUGCAGAAUCCCGUGAACCAUCGAGUCUUUGAACGCAAGUUGCGCCCGAAGCCAUUAGGCCGAGGGCACGUCUGCCUGGGCGUCACGCAACGCGUCGCCCCCUCCUCACCUCGGUGCGGCGGGGGCGGAGGAUGGCCCCCCGCGUCCCCCCGGGGACGCGGCCGGCCGAAAUUCGGAAUCGCCCCGACGACGGGUCGUCGCGACAGGUGGUGGCGUCUAUCGGUAUCAUACCGUCGCGCUGGAACCCGUCCCGGAAAGCGGCUCCCCGACCCACGG
rnacentral:rRNA from 1 species